rfam:Parcubacteria (Magasanikbacteria) bacterium GW2011_GWC2_42_27 TV18_C0004, whole genome shotgun sequence.
UUCAUUGAGAGUUUGAUCCUGGCUCAGGACGAACGUUGGCGGCGUGUCUAAGGCAUGCAAGUCGAGGGAUCGGAUAGGUGCUUGCAUCUAUUACGGACCGGCAAACGGGUGAGUAACACAUUGGUAACCUACCUCUGAGUCAAGCAUAGCCCACCGAAAGGUGGAUUAAUACUUGAUGGUUAUGGGGGGACGAAAGUCAUUCCCAUAUAAAGAUUUAUCGCUCAGAGAGGGGCCUAUGUCUGAUUAGCUUGUUGGUAGGGUAAUGGCCUACCAAGGCUCUGAUCAGUAGCAGGCGUGAGAGCGUGACCUGCCUCACUGGGACUGAGAACUGCCCAGACUCCUACGGGAGGCUGCAGUCAAGAAUAUUCCGCAAUGGCCGAAAGGCUGACGGAGCGACGCCGCGUGCAGGAAGACGCUUUUCGGAGUGUAAACUGCUUUUAUCAGGGAAGAAUUCGUGACGGUACCUGAUGAAUAAGGGGCUGCUAACCUCGUGCCAGCAGCAGCGGUAAUACGAGGGCCUCAAACGUUGUCCGGAUUUAUUGGGCGUAAAGCGUCCGCAGGUGGUGAUGUAAGUCAAUGGUCAAAUCCUCGAGCUCAACUUGGGGACUGCCAUUGAUACUGCAACACUUGAGGUUGGGAGAGGUAAGCGGAACUAUCGGUGUAGUCGUAAUAAGCGCUGAUAUCGAUAGGAACACCAAAGGCGAAGGCAGCUUACUAGAACAUACCUGACACUCAUGGACGAAAGCGUGGGUAGCGAAAGGGAUUAGAUACCCCUGUAGUCCACGCUGUAAACGAUGUCUACUAGGUAUUGGGAGUAUCGACCCUCUCAGUGCCGUUGAAAAAAGCUAACGCGUUAAGUAGACCGCCUGGGGAGUACGAUCGCAAGGUUAAAACUCAAAGGAAUAGACGGGGACCCGCACAAGCGGUGGAUCAUGUGGUUUAAUUCGAUGAUACGCGGCGAACCUUACCUAGGCUUGACAUAUAGCUGCAAGCCUCUGGAAACAGAGGCCCCUUUCGAAGGUGCUAUACAGGUGUUGCAUGGUUGCCGUCAGCUCGUGCCGUGAGGUGUACCGUUAAGUCGGGUAACGAGCGCAACCCCUAUGCUAUGUUAAAUGUACAUAGCAGACUGCCCGGGCAACCGGGAGGAAGGUGGGGACGACGUCAAAUCAGCAUGACUCUUACGCCUAGGGCGACACACAUGAUACAAUGGCCGGUACAAUGGGUAGCCAAACCGCGAGGUGGAGCAAAUCCCACAAAACCGGUCUCAUCGCUAGUAAACGCGCAUCAGCCACGGCGCGUUGAAUACGUUCUCGGGUCUUGUACUCACCGCCCGUCAUACCACGAAAGCUGGGGGCACCCGAAGGCUCUUUAGGGGGACGAAGGUGAAUUCAGUAAUCAGGGUAAAGUCGUAACAAGGCAUCCGUAGCGGAAGCUGUGGAUGGAUCACCUCCUUU